AGCGAACGCUGGCGGCAGGCCUAACACAUGCAAGUCGAACGAACCUUUCGGGGUUAGUGGCGGACAGGUGAGUAACACGUGGGAACGUGCAUUUAGGUUCGGAAUAACUCAGGGAAACGUGUGCUAAUACCGAAUGUGCCCUUCGGGGGAAAGAUUAAUCGCCUUUAGAGCGGCCCGCGUCUGACUAGCUAGUUGGUUGAGGUAAUGGCUCACCAAGGCGACGAUCAGUAGCUUGUCAGAGAGGAAGAUCAGCCACAUUGGGACUGAGACACGGCCCAAAAUCCUACCCGAGGCAGCAGUGGCGAAUCAUGCGCAAUCGGCGAAAGCCUGACGCCCCCAUGCCGCGUGAAUGAUGAAGGUCUUAGGAUUGUAAAAUUCUUUCACCGGGGACGAUAAUGACGGUACCCCGAGAAGAAGCCCCGGCUAACUUCGUG
rnacentral:rRNA from 1 species